GACGAACGCUGGCGGCGUGCUUAACACAUGCAAGUCGAGCGGUAAGGCCCUUUCGGGGGUACACGAGCGGCGAACGGGUGAGUAACACGUGGGUGACCUGCCCUCAGCUCUGGGAUAAGCCUGGGAAACCGGGUCUAAUACUGGAUAUGACUCCAUGACGCAUGUUGUGGGGUGGAAAGCCUUGUGCGGCUGAGGAUGGGCCCGCGGCCUAUCAGCUUGUUGGUGGGGUGAUGGCCUACCAAGGCGACGACGGGUAGCCGGCCUGAGAGGGCGACCGGCCACACUGGGACUGAGACACGGCCCAGACUCCUACGGGAGGCAGCAGUGGGGAAUCUUGGACAAUGGGGGAAACCCUGAUCCAGCCAUGCCGCGUGAGUGAUGAAGGCCCUAGGGUUGUAAAACUCUUUACGGCGGGGACGAUAAUGACGGUACCCGCAGAAGAAGCUCCGGCUAACUUCGUGCCAGCAGCCGCCGUAAU
rnacentral:rRNA from 1 species